UGCUUAACACAUGCAAGUCGAACGCGAAAGGGACUUCGGUCCCGAGUAGAGUGGCGCACGGGUGAGUAACGCGUAAGUAAUCUACCCCUGUAUCUGGAAUAACCCACCGAAAGGUGAGCUAAUACCGGAUACGUUUAUCUUGACGCGAAUGAUGAUAAAGAAAGGUGGCCUCUUCAUGAAAGCUACCGUACUGGGACGAGCUUGCGUACCAUUAGCUGGUUGGUAGGGUAAUGGCCUACCAAGGCGACGAUGGUUAGCGGGUCUGAGAGGAUGAUCCGCCACACUGGAACUGAAACACGGACCAGACUCCUACGGGAGGCAGCAGUGAGGAAUAUUGCGCAAUGGGGGCAACCCUGACGCAGCGACGCCGCGUGGACGAUGAAGGCCCUUGGGUCGUCAAAUCCUGUCAGAUGGAAAGAAAUGUACAGGUGUUAAUAUCGCCUGUAUUUGACGGUACCAUCAAAGGAAGCACCGGCUAACUCCGUGCCAGCAGCCGCGGUAAUACGGAGGGUGCGAGCGUUGUUCGGAAUUACU
rnacentral:rRNA from 1 species